rnacentral:pre_miRNA from 1 species
AGGUUUCUGAAUCCGCGCAGAGAUUUCGUCAGACACCAACCCAUUAGGGUUGAUCAGACUUUUAAGAUAAGUGGAGUU